CAAUGGUGUUUGUGCUAACCCUUGACUUGUUGUCUUGAUCUAAUGUGAUUGGGUUUAAAUCUAUAAUUAAAUAGGUGGCUUAUCUUAUUUUUAUAAAAAAGUUUCAUAUGAAAUCAUCCUCCUCCACAUCAAAAUGCCAUGCAUAAAAUAAAUCCAUGGCCCAUUUAAUUUUGGCAUUAAAGAAGAGGAGUCCUUUCAUACUCCUCUUAAAUUCCUUCCUUUAUUUCAUGCGUUCCUUUAUUUCCAUGCAUCAUCUGAUGACUUUUAAGAUAUAUGGGCAC
rnacentral:lncRNA from 1 species